UGAAGCGGUGUGAGAUGGAUCCGCGUCUGAUUAGCUGGUUGGCGGGGUAGAGCCCACCAAGGCGACGAUCAGUAGCCGACCUGAGAGGGUGAACGGCCACAUUGGGACUGAGACACGGCCCAAACUCCUACGGGAGGCAGCAG
rnacentral:rRNA from 1 species